rnacentral:piRNA from 1 species
UGACUUACAUACUGGACCUUGGAGGCCAAC